UAAUAAAAUGAUGAUGGAAUGUUACAUUGGAAAUGGUCGGGAUAGCUCAGCUG
rnacentral:tRNA from 1 species